UCCUGCUCGCCGCGUGCCGCCGUCCUCCUCGCCGCGCGCCGUCGACACCUCUGGCCGGUAAGCCCGACGCCCCCUCCUCCCCAGCACUCCGGCCAGCACAAGCAAAGAAGAAAAAGGCGAANAAGAAGAAAGAAGAAGAAGAAGAAGAAGAAGAAGAAGAAAGAAGAAGAAGAAGAAGAAGAAGAAGAAGAAAGAAGAAGAAGAAGAAGAAGAAGAAA
rnacentral:lncRNA from 1 species